ACCCUCUUCAAUCUAGCUAUCUUUUCUUCUGAUCCUUGGCCUUUCUCUUUCUGAUCAAUUAAUUUCUCCUAAUUUUUCUGAUUCAGCUUUCCAUAAACUUGAACAAUUUAUCAAUGGGGAGUGGAAAUAAACACCAUCAUCUGAAUUUCCAUGUUCAAUUUCAUUUUCCAUUUCAUCAUACGAAGGAGGAAUUGAGGGAUACAGUACCGAGAGGAUGCGUUACGGUGUUGGUGGGUCAAGGUGAGGAGGAGCAGCAGAAAUUCGUGAUACCAGUAAUGCAUAUUAAUCAUCCUCUCUUCACACAAUUGUUAAAAGAAGCAGAGCAAGUCUACGGAUUUCAUCAUAAUGGUCCCUUAAAUAUACCCUGUAAUAUCGACCAGUUUCGCUAUGUUGAGGGAAUGAUUGAUAAGGACGUUCAUCACCACCACCAUCAUCACCUGUGCUGCUUCAAAGCCUGAUUUUAUUACAUCUUGCUUGUAUAUAUGUAAUAUAGUAUUACUAAUGACGACGAUGAAAAUUAUUUAUAUGCAAUAAUAUAUAGUUGUAAAUAUUUGUAGUUUGAUUUCUCAGAUGAUCAAUUAGUUAUACUUUAUUUGUUGAGCAAUAUGGUCGCGAUAUACAACUCACUCUAUUUAUUAUACCUUCUUUUGAAAUUAACGAUUUAAGUAUUGUAACGAGAAAUUGGCGUGCUAAUGGUCGGAUUAAUGUCUUCUUGGUUGAGUUUUGUUACGUUACUGAUCGUAUUCCCCAUUAAUUAGCUAUGUAUAUAUUUGGACAACUCAAAACUGGAUUAACAAACUUAUAGCUCUAAAUCUAUGAAUUAGUCCCUAAUUUGGGUAAUUAGAUAGACUUGAUCUCUUGAGGUUUUCAAUAUAAUUGUUUCUAGAUUUGUUUGCGCUAAUUACACGAUCAAAUUGAGGGUUGAAGAACUUGGCGUUUCUAUAAUGGAAAAUUCUAGUUUUCAAUUGUUAAAUUAGGUCUUGGGCCUAACACAACACAGCCCAACAGCUACCUCAAAGGGAGGAGGAUUUCCUAAGUCUUUAACACCCCACCUCACGCCCAGUGCUUAGCAUCUGGUGCGUGGACAAUUUUGAUUUUGGGGGCCCGAACAUCGGGUGAGACGGGCCCUGCUUUGAUACCAUAUUAAAUUAGGUCUUGGGCCUAACUCACACCCCAAAAGCUAGCUCAAAGGGAGGAGGAUUGCCUAAACCUUAUAAGGAGACCACCCAUCUCAUUAACCACCGAUGUGGAAUUUUUGUCAUUCUUUAACAUCUAUGUUCACUCAAAAGGAGAUGUUUAUUCGAUCGGUCAAGUCAGCUUUAUGAAGUUGUUGCAUGUAAACUUUAUUAGCAUUAACUGCUGACCUAAUACAAAUAUUAAGCAUAUUAUAAUUUGUGAAAACUUUUACUGUACUAGUAUAUAAUUUAAAUCCUUUGGAAAUUGGCUGCAACUUGGCUCAAACACCAGCUUUCGUUUAUACUAGAAACAUAAGUGUGUAAAAUGUGAAGAACUUCGACAAAGAAAACCCUUAGCUAUACAUUAGUAUUAUUUUUCCGAUCGUGAGAUAUUUAGAAUUAGUUAUUUCAUCUUUAUACUUGUAACUCAAGUAUCACACGAUUUAUGGUUUUUUUUGUUUCCCACCUGGUAUUCGGUGUCCACAUUGGAGAUCGACUAAAUUUGAAUUCACACUGGAAAGUCUCACAUUGGUGGUAAAGCGCUCCCUAACAAAGGCAAUUCCAUACCCAAAGAGGCUCGAACCCAAGACCUCUUGGUUAAGGAUAAAAGAAUACUUAUCACUCUACCACAGUUGAUUAUGGUUUGAUGAGUUUGGGCCGUGAACAAAUAGUGAGGUGUCGGCAGAGACAAGUCAUUAAUUUCAUGUCUGCUCUCUAAUUAAAUAUGUAUUCCUCUUAACAUAAAAAGCUGAUCAUCUAUCGAAAUUUUGUGUCCAAAACAACAAAUGGUCCAAAAUUUAUUCGAUUUUAUCCCAAGUAUUUGGUAGUUAAUUAUUAUAAAUUUAAGAUUUUUAAGAAGUUCUACCUUUUAGAAAAUUAUUAAUUGAAGAUAUAAUAGGUAAAAUGAAUUGUCUUUUCUUGAUUUGUCACAAUAGACAAGUAAAAAGGGACAAAUAAAAAAAAGAAAAUUGUAUAAGUAAUUAGGGACAAGAGUAUUACUUUUGUCUCAUAUUAGUUGUCCCUCUUACUAAAUUAAGAAAGUAUUAAUUAAAAGGAAAUUUUUCUAUAUCAUCUUUGCAAUUAAUUCUUUUUGAGAGUAUUCACAUUUAUUUAUAAAAUUUCCAAUUUUUUUUUGAGUAAAUUAGUAAAAUUAUCUUUUUUAUUUAUGAUUUUAGUAAUAUGAGUAUAUAAAAAGGAAAAUAAUCAACGAAAGUAUAGGUUUGACUUUUGAGAGUUGUGAAUACGUCAAAGGAAAAUCUUAUAUAGAGGAAAGCUCAAGAAUAUUUGGUCAUUCAAGUACUAGAAACUCACAAGUUACAACACAAAAGUUGCUACUUUGUUUACUCAGCUCAUUUUAAAUUUAUUUGUCCUAAUUUUCUUUUUUAGUUCAUUUUAAAGAAAUCUUAUAAUAUUGGUUCCAUGCAUGAAAUGAUAAUUAAUGUUUCCAUCUCGAAGAGUACUUCCAUCCAGCUCUGGUGUUCCAUGUGAUACUCUUACAUUUUCUAAUUUUAUAGAUUAUUGCAAAACCUCAUUAUAAUAAUCAUGCUUAUCGGAUCAUGAUCAUCAUAUGUUGUAGAUCAUCUUUUAACAUUACUACAUUUUGAAUUUUCAUAAAUUUCGCAUAAGAUAAAAGCUUGUUUCAUAUAUCGUAGAAACAACUUGAUUUGUCUACACUCCGACAAUGACAAGCUUUGAAACAGGGGGCAUUUGUAGACAUUGAAAUUUUGUGGAACUCUACAAGAUGCGUUCAAUUCGAGUUGGGACUCUACAAGGUGUGUUCAAUUCAAAUUAGGAUUCUUGGAGGCUACUCAACCCUAAACCCUAGUUCACGCCUAUAUAAAGGGUACAAAAUUCUCUUUAUAUAGACAUGAAUUAGAGUUUAGGAUUGAGUAGCCUCCAAGAAUUCUAAUUGAAAUUGAACACACCUUUUAGAGUCCCAAUUCGAAUUAAACACGUCUUGUAGAGUCACACAAAAUUUCAAUUUCUACAACAUCCUAACAAAAACCUCCAAAUGGACCCUUUUUGAAAAGUCAUUCAUUAAUGAAUGCCUUUCCAUAUGUAUUACUUUGUCCUAAACCUAAAGGCAAAGGAUUAGACAACCCAGCACUUUGUCUUCUAUUUUGGAGUUCUUAUAUAAAUUUACCAUGACACCUCACCUUGCAAGGCAAAUUAUAUUUGUCAACCCUUAUUAAGUAUAAUAUAAAUAGUACCUAAAAAAUGAGUACCAAAUUUGUUGGCCCCAUAUUAUUUUUCUGGUUUACUGUCUUGAAUCUAUUGGUCCCUUUAAAAUCCCAAGUUCUAAAGAAAGUAAACAGUUACACUUGUGGUGUGUGGACAUUUCAGAACAAGAAUUAAUCAUACAUACCGGUACAUAGUGAUGGAAAGUGACUAUAUAUUUUUGUUGCCUCUUGAUUUGAAUAUUUUGACGAAUUGUUUAUAUCAUAUAGUACCACCUUGUUCUCCAUAAAUUAAAAAGAUGAAUGUGACCUAACAGGUACUUGAUUAAUUAAUAGUGUAAGCCUAUAAGGAUGGUAUAUAUUCAAGUCAUAGAAAUUGUGAGUAAAAUUACUUUUGAAUUUUUUUGUAACAAAAUGAUCAUUUAAUAGACAUUUAACUCAAAUCUUCUCUAAACGGUCCUAAAAUUUAGAUAUGAGCUCUUUUCGAUGUUUUGAUAUACUAUUUACUCGAAACGAUUCAUGCGUAGCAAAUCUAACUUGUAAUUUGUUUGUUAAUUAUGAACGGUAUAAGAACUUUUAAAUUGUUCAUAAUUUCUAGAGUAUAGUUUGUUUAGCCUUCUGAAUCUAUAGUCCUUCUUCCGAUCCCAACCUUAAGGCAUUAUUACAAGCACGAAUUUUUGAGGACUUUUAAUGAUCUAUCGGAUAUAUAGGGUAAUUAGCUGAUAAUUAAGCUAUUUUAAAUUUAGACAGUCAACCAACUAAUAAACUAUUAAGAUUUUCUCCUUGACAAACACUUUAUUAGUUAUUACAAUUUCGUUUUUUCUUUUUGGAAAUAUAAAAACAAGAAUCAUACAUACAUAGUGAUGGAAAGUGACAAUUUUCUUUUCUUUUUUUUAAGAAUAAUGUGGUCUUGAGGGGAGGGGGGGGGGGUCAAUNNNNNNNNNNNNNNNNNNNNNNNNNNNNNNNNNNNNNNNNNNNNNNNNNNNNNNNNNNNNNNNNNNNNNNNNNNNNNNNNNNNNNNNNNNNNNNNNNNNNNNNNNNNNNNNNNNNNNNNNGGGGGGGGGGUCUAUUAGAUAGCAACUUGUACCUCUUGAUUUUGAAUAUUUUACGAAUUGCUUAUAUCAUAGUACCACGUUGUCCUCCCUUCUAGCUCAUCUCUUAAUCAUGGUCUCGUCGAUAUAUGGGCGUGACCCAACAAGUUCAAAAUCUAAGGAUACUUUUAAAGUUAGUUGAAUACACAGAGGCAGUGGCAUACGCAAGAUUUUUUUUAAGCAGUGUCACCAUUAAAGUGACAGGAAUAGUUCAAGAAGAAAAUUAAUGAAGAUUUUGUUUUAGGCCUCCCAAAAUUUGAUGCCCCAUUAAUAAUGAAAAAAUAUUUUCUUAAAAAUAUAAAAUUUAAAUUAAAUUUAAUUUUUUUUAAAAAAUUGUUUAUUCUUUAAAUUAGAUAAUAUUUUAAAAUUUUAAAUUAAAACAUUUACAUCUUCAUAUUAUUAAAUAAAGUUUAAUACAACAUUAUUUAACCGAUUGUAUUGCAAAUAAAUGAUUAAUAAAAUUAUUAUUAUGAACAAAUAAAAAUUCAAGCAUAUGAUAAAAAAAAAUAGAAUAGAAAGAAAAUAUUGAUAUGAUGUGGAGAUUCGAGAUGCCAAUAACGAUGAUUGAUGAACAAGAACAGAAAGAAAAUUGAAGAAACUCACAAGAAUAUACAAAUACAAGGAUAGGAGUCAACACUAUUUUUAUUUAACUAUAAUUCUAAUUGAUGAAGGACUCAAAGAUUUUGAGUUUUAUUUUAAUUCUAAAAAUAAAAAAGAAUAGUUAAAUUUUGAAUGAAUUAGAGUGGGUCAGAAGGUUUUUAUUUUUUAAUGAACUGUUUUGAAUUUAAAACAAAAAAUUAAUAAAUUUAAGAAAAGAAAAAAAUGAAACGUGAAAAAAACAAAAGAAAACGCGCAUAAAAACCACACGUCGUAUGGGAUCGAACUCAGGACAUUGAUCUUUGUAUGCAGCGUCUCUGCCACCUGAGCUAGGAGCACUCUGUUAUAAGGGUUGUCCUUUUAAUUAUUUUACCAUUUAGUUUGUUUUUUUUAUUUUUUAUAUAGGUAUAUUCCGUAAAAAAAUUCGACGAAGCCGUGUCACAUGACACACCUUAGAUGUACUUAAAUCCGCUCCUGCACAGAGGAAAAAUUCUUGGUACGGAAUGCUUCACCCCAAAUGGCCCUACGCAGUUGGAAAAAUCCAUAUUAAGGCUAAUGCAUGUAAUUAAAGAAGAUGACAUAUUUUAAGUGGUGUAGGUGCUACAUAAUGAAUGCUUGGAACACUUAAAAAAAAUAAUCAAAAAUUAUGAGUCAAAAGUAAUGUCUAAAAGAAACACUUUAUCACGUGUUCAAGUGUUUAAUCAAAACAUGUCGUAAUUUAAUUGACUAUCUAAAUAAAAUUUACAGGUAAGUUUAAAGGAUUAUCGUUGUAUUGCGUCGUUGAAGUUUAAACAUACAGUUACAUGGGAGAGUAGGCAAAAUAGCCACCUUAAAGACUUAAUGUGACAUUAAGUCACAAGUCUUGAAUAAUUUGUGGUAUACCCACUAUUAAUGACAUCAUCCACAUGCCCUAAUUGGCACAUACAAAAUACCUCACUAAGUUUCCAUAUCUCCACUUUGAUCUCCCCCUUCUUUUCCAACUAAUUUGGAAUAAUAUAUUUAUUUUCAAUUGUUAAAAUUUAUAUUAGAAAAAAGAAAAAAGCCUCCAAACGGAAACAAGAGCAGCUCAUUGUUCCUGCUGUCGAUUUGUCGAUUUCGGUGAAUUUUUCUACUGUAAUAUCCAUUUCCAAGGUAAAAUCAUCAUCAUCUCCUACUCCAUAUUCAUAUUUACUCCAUUUUCUUUCAAAACCCAAGCUUCAAAAUUAGUUUCCCAACAUUAUAGAAAUUUGAGAAAUCUUCCAUAAUAAUCACUUGAUAACUCAUUAUAGAUACAUAUUAGUAGUUUAAAAGCAUUAAAAUCUAUUUCGCCAUUGCAGGAGCUGAAUUUUAAACCCGAUCUCAUUCAGUCGCGUUUUUGUACGGAUUCCGUACCUCAUAGACUAAUACUGUAAUAUAUUAUCGAUAUUUGUAGUCUAUAAUAGCAAUAGCUGAAUUUGUUGUUGCUGGUGGAGAUUAUAUGUGAGUAUGGUAGGAGACUCCCAAGAGUUGGAAUUGGAAAUCUUUUAGUAAGACGAUAGUGCCCAUUGCGUUGCGUUGCAAUGGUUCAUAUGACGAUAUGAUUGCAAGCGUAAUUGAGGCCGGUGAGUUAACUUGCGAGCCAAAUGACUUGGUGAUUAGUUGUCAAAUGAAUGGAAGGGGAAAAAUACAUCCCACAUUCAUAAAAAAUGAUUGGCACAUUAGCUUGUACAUGUUAGAUAUUGAUAUUGAUGUCUCUAGGCCUAUAUUGAGGAUACACGUCAAUGCGAGGCCUCCAAUUUAACCAACAAAUUCAUUUGACGACAACAAUAAUUCUAUUGGAAAUGAAAGAUUGGGAGAUCAUUCAAAGGAGAGCUUGGGUGAUCAUUUAAAUGAGAGUUUGGGUGAUCAUUCAAUGAAUAUACAUGAUGAUCCACCUAAUGUGGAAAAUCAGUCAGUAGAUCCAAAAGAUCCCGAACGCGAAUGUUGUGAAGAAAUGCAGGGAGAACAGGAAUUGAGAUCACAAUCCAACCAUUCCUUCUCCGAUGGAACUAAUUUAUGCAUAAAUCAAACUUUCAAUAACAAGAAUGAGUUACAAUUGUUAUUAGCCAAAGCGGUGGGGAAGAAGUGUUUUGAUUUUGCUACUUUGAGGAGUUGUACUAAAUAUUUAAAGGUGAAAUGUGUAUUUCAGAAUUGUGCAUGGAUGUUGCGGGCGAGGAAAUAUGAGUGUUCGAAUAGAUUUCGUAUCUACAAAUACAUUGGUGAGCAUAGUUGCGGCGUUGAGCAUGCCAAUAGUAGCCAUAGAAAAAUCUCAAUCAAAGUUAUUGUUUCACUCAGUGUAAAUAUGUAUCGUGAUGGUAAGGGUCCAAAUGUUAAAGAGAUUGAAAGGGCUAUGUUUAAUUCUUUUCGUUGUAGUCCAAGUUAUUGGAAAUGUUGGAAGGGAGGUGUGGUUGUCAAGGAAAUGGUCCGAGGGACAACGGAGAACAGAUAUUCAUGCUUACCAGCUUUUUCCUACAUGUUCGAGACACUUAAUGUUGGUUCUAGUUAUUCUAUCAUGGUAAACAAGGAUAAUCAUAGGUUUAUGUAUUAUUUUUUGGCCUUCGGUGCUUGCAUUAAGGGAUUUGCCCACAUGAGAAAGGUAAUUGUGAUUGAUGACACUCAUUUACAUGGUUAAUACGAGGGCGUGUUGUUAAGCGUUGUUGCACAAGAUACGAACAAUCAUGUUUAUCCAAUUGUUUUUUGUAUCGUGGACAAAGAUAUUAAUGCAUCUUAGACAUUCUUCUUUGAGAAAUUGAAGGAGAUUGUGGUCGAUGAAUCGAAUUUGUGUUUUAUCUCCGACAGACAUAAGAGCAUCGCCAACGCCAUUGUGAAUGUUUACAAUCAUGCUCACCAUAGAUAUUGUAUGAGUCACCUCGGUGAAAACCUCUGUGUAAAUCAUCAUUGUGAAGAUUACUUUUAUCUUUAUUACAAUGCGGCAAAGGCUUAUUCUUUGGAAGAGUUUGACAAUCAUUUUGUCGAAUUCAAGAACAAAUGUCCCGCGGCAGCUGUCGUCCUUAAGUAUGAUAUAGGUUUUGAGAAGUGGAGUAGGGCAUAUUUUCCUGGCAGUAGAUAUGAUGUGAUGACCACAAAUUUCGCCGAGUCACUCAAUGUUAUGUUGAUAGACGAAAGGUAGUAUCAUGUGGCAUCAAUAUUUAAUUCGAUUGCUAAGAGGUUUGGAGAAUUGUUCAGGGAGAGGCCUCCAUAUAUCCUUAAAUCAAUGGGUAAUCAAAUGGUGCCUUCUGCAAAAAAAAUCGCAAGAAGGAAAAUGAUCGAGGGCCACUCCUUAUAUAUGGAGAACGUAACUGGGGAUGGCAAUCAAUUUACCGUGUUCGGUGCAGGUGUUACUGCCUAUGUGGACCAACUGGAAAAGUCAUGUUCUUUUAGAAAAUAUGACUUCAUCAAGAUACCUUGUGCUCACGCGAUGGCUGCUUUGCGAUCAAAGCAUGGCAACGAGUAUUGUAUUAGCAUUUAUGAGUACCCUUCGCCUUUGUAUAAAGUUGAAUCGUUCCUCCUUGCAUACUUAGAUUAUAUUAAUGUUGUCCCUCUCUAGUUGGAAUGGUGUGUGCCAGAAGAAUUGCUUAAUGUGAAGAUUUUUUCGCCUCUUGUCGAUACCAAACUUGGAAGAAAACGAAGAAAACGUGUCAAAGGUGUCGAUAAGAAUUUCAAAAUCAAGAGAAGGAACAAAUGUUCAAUUUUCAAGAGAACCACAUGUGUGAACAACAACAAAUCUUAAUUAAGCUUGGUUGGAUAUGUUGAUUGAAUUUGUUUUUGUAAUCAAGCUACUCUUUUUUUUGGCAGCCAGCAUUUUGAUCAAUUGUUAUUAUCGUAAUUACUCAUAGUCUAAUAUAGAUCAAUCAAAAGAUGACAUACAUUUUGCACACUAUCUAUUAAAGUUUAUUAUCGAGUCCACUCAUUGUGUAUUAAGCUGUGUAUUAUUAAUAUAUGAAAAUUCAUAAUAUUCGUAAUGCAAUGAUUUUAAUGCAUGAAUUAGAAUAUGAUUUUAAUGCAAUGAUCUAUGUAUAACUAAUACAAUCAUUAUUUGGAUAUACACUCUAUCAAACGAAUCCAUAAAGAAUUGUCAAAAAAUCAGAUGUUACCAUUGAAAAAGUAGCAAUUUGAAUUUUUUGUACCGUUGUAAAAUUUGUAUAUGUAAAUAUUUACUGGUUAUCAAAAUAUAUAGACCCUUUAUACAAUUGAUGCAUCUCUAUGUGCUUGGUGUAUGUAUGACCAAUAAGAUAUACACUCUGACAUUAGUAAGGUAUAUUCGGGUUUUUAUCUAUUUUAAAGCAUUGUCGAUACUUCACCUAUUAGAAUCUAACACUAUAGAUCAAAACUAGUAGAAUUUAGAAAAGACAACAAUUAAUUAAUAAUAAAUUAUAUUUUUGAAAUUUAUCCAAUUAAAUGCGUUUAAACAAGGCAUAUGAUCAUGUAAAAGUCCACAUAAAUUGGGUGUGGUGAUUAGAGAUGUAUGAGGAAGAGUUGUGGUUAUACAAUCAACAUCCUUAGAACAAUGUUUGAGAAAACAUAAGUAUGGUGUGCGGAUAUCACUUGUUUAACCACACAUUGUUUAUUGCCACCCCAAUUUAUGUAGACUCAUACAUGACCACAUGCGUAUGUUCUAAAGAUGUUGAUUGUAUAACCACACAUAACAAGUUACAUCCUUAAGCCAAAACAUGCAGGCUUAUCAUUCACACAAAAUCAAAUUUCCUGCAGUUUUUUGUCAUUUCUCACCCGUCGCAACAACAUAUAAUGGACAAUCUGUCCAUUGAACUUAAAAUAAUCUCAAAUAUGCCUCAAAUGUCCAAAGCAAGUACCCUUAAAUUCAUUAUAAAGAUUUUGUUCAACCAGAAUUUUUCUAAAGUCACGAUAAACUGUCAUCCUUGAUCUUACAGAGAUCUUUGUUGAAAAAGAUCCUCAUCUAACCACGUUGCUAGGUCAUACAACUCACCAGAGAUAUCUCUUGCACAAAUGGGCAAGGAUAGAUGAUCUUCCUAAUCUCGACUAGUGUCUCUACUACUCUCCUCAACAUUAUCACUACCAUCAGCACUAUUGUCCUGAUAAUUGUCAAUCCCCGCCAUUAUUUUCAUUUGUGAAUCAGAUUCGGGUUCUUCGACUGCAAUUUCUUUCUUUUUACAAGUUUUCAAAACUUGUUCAGCCUUUCGUUUUUUAAUGCUAGAGCAAUUGGAGCAGAUGGUUUAGUGCUUCCUCCUCUAGUUUUAGCCAUACUUUAUAAUCUACAAGCAAAAACAUAUUUAUCAACCCACUAGUUUAUUAACAUAAACAGAGUAAACCUCAAAUAAAGCUUGCAAAAUUAAUAGCAGAUCCAACAGAAAUCAACAAUGCUAUUGACAGAAACGCCACUAAAGUCGAUCAAAGUUUAGUAAAUAUUUCAAAAUCAAUAGGCGAGAUAAACAUAAAAAAAAUAAUUUAAAUAAGCAAUCAAAUAGGGCUAUAUAUUCAAAUACAAACAAAAACGUCAUUAGAGACAACAAAUACACUGAAUACAACGAAAAAACUUCAUCCCAAACAAGAACAUCAACAAAAACAAUCCAAAAAAAGGGGUCAUUACAUCAUUACACUACCAUAAAAAAAUAAACAAUCAAAUAUGGACAAUAAUUACCGAAGAACACCAUUACAGAAGGUUCAACUUACCAAAGACGAGGGCUUUAAUUUGAUCUUGGGGAAGAAGUUUGAAAAAAAUAGAUGAUAAUUUGAGAGGGGUUUAGGACGAUGAAAAGUGAGAAAAGUUUGUAUAAGUUAAUGGAAGAGAAGCGUAUGGGGAAGAGUAGCAUAUGAUUACACUGGAAGAGAAGUGUAUGGGGAAGAUGAAAAGCCCUUGCACUUGGAGAAGAAGAAACGUUGAAACAAAUAUUCAGAAAAGUGCCUCGAUUUUCAUCAAUAUAUAAUAUUUUAUCAGAAUAUAUUAUUUUUUAAAUGUAUUGGGAUUAUAAUAUAUUUUUGUAACGUUAUAUUUUUUCCCCAAGUUUUAAAAAUAAUAAAUAAGCUCAUGACCCCACAUUCACAAAUAUACCCCAAGUUUUAAAAAGGCCAAAGAGACCUACGACCCCACACUUUUUCCUUUUUAAAAAGCCCAAUCCUAGAAAAUAAAGCAAAAAUAAAUAAAGUGGGUAUAAAGUAAAUUAAGUUAUAAAGGUGUCCCCAAUGCAAAUUCUUCUCCGGUUACAUCACAAUACAUAAAAUAUUAGCGUAUAAGUAAUAUACAUUGUCAGUUCAAAUAAUUUUUUUGCUAUUAUCACGUUAUUUCACCUGUAGGUAAUAUAUACAUUUUAUUUUUCAAGAUUUCAAAUCUGUUAUUUUAAAUACUUUUAAUAAUAUGUAAAUAUCAUUUAAACGAUGUGAUAGCAUAAAAAACAAAUUACUCACACUAUGGUAUAUAAAAUUAAUUAAACUCAUAAUAUUAUGUCUGACUCAAACUUGAGUGGUUUUAGUUAGCGACCUUGAAGCAAGUAAACGUUGUUCUUGCUUUGAUUCAGAAAUUUUUUAUAGCAGAAUCAUAUACUAAUCCAAAGGUCAAUAUUUAAUUAAACAAAUUAACAUAUCUUAGUUCAAAUAAACUAAAAAAUGCAUGCAUCAGGUUAUUAAUUAGGUGCACGUAACUGGCAAAAUUCUACAAUAGCGACUUUUUCUUUCUUCCAGUGAAAUCGAAGUGUCUAGCAAUUUAAAAGCCUCUUUCAAAAUGACUGGCUAUAUUACAAGACACGACAUAAUUCUUUUACUCUCGAUCAGAGGUAUCAAAUUUGAAUAUUGAGAAAGGAAAAUCUCCAAUUGGAUUUUAAGCUUUAUUUUAAUAUUAAUUUAAAGUGCAUAAUUCCUAAUUGUAUAUUACACCAACAUCUCCUACUAGUGAGCGCUUUUCUAUUAGUGGAGUACUUCAAAUAUCGUGAAUUCAAAUUAGUCAGAUUCAUAAAUUUCUAAUAUCAAAGAGUUAAACUAUAAAGCACGCAAGAGUAUUGAGGAUAGGCUUUCUUUAUCUUUAUCUUCAUGAAUAAUUGUGUUGGUGUGACAUUUUAAUAUUAAUAAAAAUAUAUGAUGUCACAUUAUGUAUUAUGUUAUGUCUAUUGGUGGACAUUACAUUUGUGCUUCUUUACUCUCAUCAAUAGUGGAAGAAAGUAGUCAUUAGUUGUUAGUAACUUAUGUAACCACCAACUCUUCAUUUCACCCAUUAUUCUAUCUUUUAAGUCUUGUAACUUAUGUAACAUUUGGGCUAGGGGCGGAUCUAGUAAGGUUCGUGGGGGUGCCACGCCACCCACGGGCUUCGACGGAAACUCUAGUAUAUAUAGGUAUAUAUCUACAAUAUAAUUACAAAUACUAAAUGUGCUACCCAAGGAACCAAAAGGCCUUGUGGUGCGGCUGGCUAAGGGUCAUAUUCUAACACGGAGGUUGCAAGGUCGAAUCUUGUUGAGGCCCUGACAGUUUUUUAAUUUGCAAUUUUAACUUGCUCCCUUAAUAUGACAACGGCACAUUAUUUUUUUUUUGUUUGUUUCUAAUAGUUGUCUUAAUAUGGAGUAGUAAUUUAUAAGUAUAUUUCACUAGCGUCUUACUUAAAACGUGAUCUAUUUAUAAAUACAAGCAAUGAUAUCGUCAUUGAUCAUUUUCAAAAUAUGAAAAUUUGUCAAGCACAAUUAUAAAUGAAUGAUGAAUAUUUAUAGUAUAAUUGAAAGUUUUAACUUUGUUUACUUUAUGAUCUCAAUCAAAUGUGGGGUGCAAAUUUGUAUUUAUAUAUGGAGGUAGUGAAGGGAAGGGAAAAUGGUAAGGUGACAAUUCAAAUAGUCAACCAAUUGAGCUAAAAUGAUUUUUCCCAAAUAUUACGUGAGAGAAAAUCUUCCAUUAUCGGUCUUGAAUUCGACUUUCAACAAGAGCAUCUAAAUUAAAACGAUAAACUUUUGCUCCGUUGGAGACAUCUGAUAAAAUUGAAACAAUGUGGAGAAGAUUAGCAUGACUCAUGCAUAAAGAAUUUGUAGUAUAUAUAAUACAUAAGUUGUCAUCUUAUCAUUGUUCAUAUUUGUCAUAGACCGAAAAGAUGAAUAAUUCGACUGAAGCCUAAAAUUGAUUUAACCGAUGAACCUACUUGGCACCCAGAGACUUGAAAUCCUGAAUCCGCUUCUGAUUUGUGCCAUUCAUUUGACAAAUUUACUACCCACUAUCUUCCUAUUCAUUGCAAGGAAGAAUUCAUCACCUAUAAAUAGUGUGGUCUUCCUUCGUCUUGAGAAAUAAGAAGAAGCAAGAGAAGUAGAGACAACAAGAGAUACUAAGAAAGAUGAGAAGUGUGAAAUAAUAUUUUAGUGUGUACUAGUGAAAGAGAGAGCUGAGACAAAGAAAAUAUUCAAAGUCUUCAACUAUAUUCACUAUAUACAAAAGAGAAUAUUUAUAUAUUGAAGAAAUGUGUUUUUAUGUGGAGAUUUGAACUCUUCAACUAAUUCGGAGUUGUUUGAGUUGUACACGUUGUUGGGUUGUUGUAUCCUGGAGUGGACAAGUCAGGAGUGAUACUGCUGGAUCGGUGUAGAUUAUGCCGCAGUGGGCUUAAAUCUCCUUAAAGAGAGCGAGAAAUUUGUGUCUCAGCCUAAAGAUUUGUUUAUUCGUUUUUGUCAUUUUAUUUUCAACUGUAAUUUAAUAUAUUUACGGUAUAUUACACCAACAAAUUGAGAUGUGGGGGGUGAUUUAUCUCUUGCUUCAUAAUUAAAGUAAAAUUUUAUCCUUAAGGCACCGCAAAAUCUCAAUAGAUUGAUUUAGGUACUUUUAAUCAUCUGUCAUUUAAAUUUUAAGCAACUUAACUAAAAGUUUUCUUGAUAUCCAUCUCGUUAUGUGAAACGGAAUGCACCAUUUUAUUCGAAAUUUUUAAGAUAUAUACAUCGACAAUAUUUAUAAAAAAAAAUCAUAAUAUUAAUGUCAUUUAACCGACUAUUUACUAUAAAUUAUAUUACUAAUCUAUGAUUCAAAUUACCAUAGCUAGAAUAUAUACACUGUCUAUUUAAUGAACUUAUAUUCUGUUUUACAUUGUUCUUCCUUUCUAUAAUUUCUCACCAUACUUUUUAGUAGAAAAAUAACCACGACUUUUUUUUGUUUUCGUUUUUCUUUCAAUAAGUGAACAAUUAAUUAAAUUGCAUCAAAAGAAAGAGAUCACUAAUUAUAAAUGUAAUGCGUAUUAGUUUUGUAUCUCAACUUACUUUGUAUCUAAUUAUCUAUAUAUCAAUUCAUUUAGUGUGUGUUGUAUAUGUUCGCUCUCUAUUAAAGUAAAUAGAUAUAACAUAUAUAGAGCAAAUAGAGAUAACAAAUAUAAAUCGAAUUGAUACAAUUCUAAUUGAACAUAUAAAAUUCAACCUCUCAUGGUGUAUAACAAUAACUAUAUACUCAAUGUGAUUUCAUAAAGCAGAGAUGAGGAAGAUAGAGUGUAUACAUAUCUCUUACUAUUAUUUUAGAGGUAAAAAUAUUGUUUCCAAUAAACCAUUCUGUUUACAUCUCUACUCUAUUCAAAUAGGGCGAAACGUCGUGAUGACUCAAAAAAUAAACAUUGGAUUCAAUUUUAAAAGAAUUUUAAGAAAAUAAGAAUUUUAAAAGAGUCGCCACCUAAUUCAAUUUUAAAAGAAUUUUAAGAAUAAACAAAUUUUAAAAGAGUCGCCACCUCAUUUUAGGAAAAACAAGGAAACUAAUUAAAAAUGUCUACGAAACCAAUAGAUUUUAGGUAAGCGUUCAAGUUAUUUCAAAGGGAAAGUGUUAUGUAUCCUUCGAAAUCCACAACUAUGGAUCCCGACUGAAUACAUUUUUUUCAAAUUGAGGAGGAGAUAAAACAGUAUACAAGUAAAACAAACAUGCGAUAUUCACAAGUAAUAAAACAAAACAAUAAUAUAAAAAACUGUCUAAUGUUUGCCUAACAUCGAUAAUAUAUACACAAUAAUGAAUAUAAAUAUAUUUGAACUCCAUUGGAAUAGCUUCAACGGAAAAUAACUCCGGGGUACCCGUAAAUAUACUUAGUAAAAGUGUUAAUAAUAAAUAAAUAUGAACAACUCAAAUAACAAAUUUUAAAAUAAAAAUCCAUCUUAUUAACAUGGGAGGCCUUGAAAAUCAACGGUAAUUUCUUCAUCGGCCAUUUUAAUUACAAAAAUAUAUUAACCUAAACUAAAUUUUCAUCUUUUACAAUGUAAAGGCUUCCAAAACCGACGGAGAAAUUUUCUCAUUGGCCAAUUCUAACUUAUUGAACAAUUUAAUAAAACAUAAAGUAAUUUAAAUUAACCUCAAACAACAUGAACAAACAUAAUAUUAAUAAUAAUAUUACCAAUAACAACACCAACAGUAACAAUAAUAACAAGACUAAUAAUAAUAAUAAUAAACAAGAGUGUUAAAAUUAUAUUCCAAAGAGUAAACCACACAGACUAUCGAAAGAUAACCUUAUAUAAAAAAAAAACUCAUUAAAAGAUUGCUGGAAAAGGACAAAGCAACAUUAAAUCAAUAACUAAAUAUGAUAGCUAAGUAGUUAAUUUUAACAUAAUAACAACCGAAAAUAACCAAUGGACAGAAACCAAGCAACAACAAUAAUAAAAUAAUAAAAAUAAAUUAAAUAACAACAACAAAAUUGAAACAAGCAACAGAACAUUUUGCAAUUGAAAAAUUACUAUAGCUAACCAAACGUAUAUCCAAAAGAAAGAAUAUGAAUAUAAACACACAAAUGUAAUAUGUAAUAUAUAAUGUAAAAGAAAAGAAUGGGGUUUGUCACCGGAAUUUUUUACUAGAGUAGCAAUUUGUGAGCAAUGUUGGUUUUCUCCGGCAGUGUGAGAAUCGCUGGUGCAAGAUCUGGUUAACUGAUUGUGGUUUACCGGCGAUGGAGCCACACUGGAGCUAGAGUCGGAGCUUCGAGCUCGCUAGUUCGCGUGAAAGCUGUAAAAACAACCAACAAAAUCAUGAAAGGGAAAGGGAAAGGGACUGGCAGCGAGCCUUUAUUUUUUCUCCAGCUCAUUGGAUCUUUGAGCUUCAAACUCGUUGGAGUUCGAUGGGGUUUGGAGGGUCGUUUGGUUGCUGUUUUGUGGGGUUUUGAUUCGGUGUUGUUUGUUCGCUGGAAAAAAGGAUUGUUUUGGUUGGGGUUUUUGGGCGGAAAUGAGUGAGGUUUAGGGAUCUGGUUUGAGGGAGAACGGUGGUGAGUUUGGUCGGGGAAGAGAAGGAAUUGGGAUGGUCGUUUAUUGGAGCUUUAAGCUCACUGGAAAAUGGGGUUUUUGGGUUGAGUUCGUGGAAGCGGCGAGCAGGUGGUUGGAAAGAAGAGUAAAAUGAGCGUCUGGAGUGACUCCGGUGGUGGAACUUGGUUUGUUUUCCGGUGGGUCUGAUUUUUGAUGAAGGAAAUGGAGCAGUUGUUGGUGGUCUUUGUGGGGUUUCUAGUCGGAAAAAGUGAACAGAGAAAAGAGAGGCUGUGUGGUUUGGGAGGAACUGACAGUGAAGAGGAGAACAAAGAAAUGGAAUUUUUGGUGGUGGACUCGCCGGAUCCCGGCGGAACUCCGGCGACUUGCCAGAAAAUAAUGAACAAUUAAAGAAUAAAAAAUUUGUAAUUUACCCCCUAAAAAUUUUAUCCACCACCCUUGACCUAAUGAAUAAGUCAUUGUUUAUAUAGAAAAUAAAAAAUUUCCUAUAGUACAGUAUCAUUCUUUUAAAAUCGUGCACCAAAAUCAUUAGCCUUUAAAAAUAUCUGUGCAUGAAAUUUUAUCCAUAUUCGAAUGAAUUUUUAGAAUGUGCAAAAUAUCAAAAUUAAUAUUGACAAAUAUAACAAAUAUAAUGAUUAUUAAAAAGUAUAAUGAAUGUAGCUAAUGAUAUGUAAAAAAUGCAAUUUAUCAGAACUAAUGAUGUAAUCAAAAUGAAUAAAUAUUAGAACGUAGUCAACUGGUUGUGACAAAAAAUAAUGUAAUUAAAAUUAACUGAUCAAAAAAAUUCUAAAUUUUGACAAAUAAGGAUAGUUAUCGAUAAAUUUAUUUAAAAUUAUUAAAAAUGUACUUUGAACUAUUAAAUAAAUAAAAACUUAAAAGUUAAAAAAAAAUUAAAAUGUUAGAUCAAAAUUGGAUAUCAACACAUUCAAUUCAAGAAAAAAAUAAUUUGAAGUAGUAUAGAAAAAAGAAGAACAAAAAUGAAGUCAAUUAUUGUAAAAGACUACAGACAAUCUAACUAAUCAUCUCAAAUAUUCUCUCUCUUCAACGAUAGUAGUCAAUUAUACUAAAAGUAGUUAUCCAACUAUACUUGUCCAAUUUAGAAAUCAAAAGAUAAUUUAUCUUUUGUGUCUAUUUUAUCGUUGUCAUUAAAUAUUAUUACAGAUUUUCAAAGUAUUAAAUUUAAUAAAAUCAAAAGAUAAAAUAUGAUAUUAUUACCUCUAUUAUUUAUUGUUUCUUAAGAAAUAUGUCAAGUUAAUAGUGGAUAGCUAUGUUGAAUAGAGAGAGUAUUAAUCACAAUAAAAUACAAUAAUAAUUUAAAAUAUAAAAAAAUCCACGAAUGAUAACUAAACUCAAAAAGAUAAGAAACUGGGAGAAUAAUAAAUCUCUAGUUGUGUGUAUUAUAAAACUUUUUAAACUCACCUUAUUUGGAAUAACCAUAAAUAAAUGACAUAUUGUAGGUAUAUUUCUUGAAUGUCCUUAUGAGUUGUAACCUCCUCCUUAGAGGCGGUAAUUAGUGGGAAUUUUAGCCUCAGUUGUUCCGCGUCUGGAACACACCCACCCACCUUCUCUUCUUCCGAUCCGUAAGUAAUCAAUUAAGCGGCUUUUGACACAUUCCUCUCCCUUUGCCCAUUUACAAAACUAGAUUCAAAAUAAAUCUCUUAAUUCUCUCAUAUAUAUAUUAUAAGCAACAUACCUAAAUCUCUAACCGACUCUUCUCUCACCCUCUUCAAUCUAGCUAUCUUUUCUUCUGAUCAAUUAAUUUCUCCUAAUUUUUCUGAUUCAGCUCCACAAACUUGAACAAUUUAUCAAUGGGGAGCGGAAAUAAACACCAUCACAAUCAUCAUCUGAAUUUCCAUGUUCAAUUUUAUUUUCCAUUUCACCUUCAUCAUCAUACGAAGGAGGAAUUGAGGGAUACAGUACCGAGAGGAUGCGUUACG
rnacentral:lncRNA from 1 species